rnacentral:rRNA from 1 species
UACGUAGGGGGCAAGCGUUGUCCGGAAUCAUUGGGCGUAAAGAGCGUGUAGGCGGCUCGAUAAGUCUGCUGUGAAAGUCCAGGGCUCAACCCUGGAAGGCCGGUGGAAACUGUCGGGCUAGAGUCCGGAAGAGGCGAGUGGAAUUCCCGGUGUAGCGGUGAAAUGCGCAGAUAUCGGGAGGAACACCUGCGGCGAAGGCGGGUUGCUGGGCCGACACUGACGCUGAUGCGCGAAAGCCUGGGGAGCGAAC